rnacentral:rRNA from 1 species
GAUGAACGCUGGCGGCGUGCCUAAUACAUGCCAGUCGAGCGAACAGACGAGGAGCUUGCUCCUCUGACGUUAGCGGCGGACGGGUGAGUAACACGUGGAUAGCCUACCUAUAAGACUGGGAUAACUUCGGGAAACCGGAGCUAAUACCGGAUAAUAUAUUGAACCGCAUGGUUCAAUAGUGAAAGACGGUUUUGCUGUCACUUAUAGAUGGAUCCGCGCCGCAUUAGCUAGUUGGUAAGGUAACGGCUUACCGAGGCAACGAUGCGUAGCCGACCUGAGAGGGUGAUCGGCCACACUGGAACUGAGACACGGUCCAGACUCCUACGGGAGGCAGCAGUAGGGAAUCUUCCGCAAUGGGCGAAAGCCUGACGGAGCAACGCCGCGUGAGUGAUGAAGGUCUUCGGAUCGUAAAACUCUGUUAUUAGGGAAGAACAAAUGUGUAAGUAACUAUGCACGUCUUGACGGUACCUAAUCAGAAAGCCACGGCUAACUACGUG